UGUUCAGGAACUUCCAGCGUUAUUCCAGAAAUAUAUCCAAAAUUUUAAUUAUGAAAUUGUUUUUUGUGUCUGCCUUAGCCAUGACGUUGGCCUUGUCACAAGCUACACCUAUUUUCACAUUUGGUAGUGGAUACCCAACCCAAUUUGUGCAAUACCCCGGGCAAGUAAUUUCGUACCCAGGGCAAGUGCUGUACCCCGGUGAAGUAGUCCCAACACAUAACUGUCCAGUAAUCAAUGGUGCCAUUACAGCGGCAAAUGGUAUUGCCAACGGGUUUCAUGAGGCUGCUAACGGCAUAGCUCAAGGUUUCGAGGAAGCUCUUUAUGGUUAGAAAAAAAGGUAACACUACAUGGACGAAGCAUUGCACACAGACUUAAAUUUCAAGGAAAAUUUAUAAAUUUUUUUUGGCGGAAGUCAGAAAAUGAAGUGAAAUAAUGUAAUUGGAUAAAAAAUAAAAAUAAAAAAGCUAUUACUUGAAAAGUAAAA